GGCUUAACGCAUGCAAGUCGAGGGGCAGCACGAGGUAGCAAUACCGAGGUGGCGACCGGCGCACGGGUGAGUAACGCGUAUGCAACUUACCUAUCAGAGGGGGAUAACCCGGCGAAAGUCGGACUAAUACCGCAUAAAGCAGGGGCCCCGCAUGGGGAUAUUUGCUAAAGAUUCAUCGCUGAUAGAUAGGCAUGCGUUCCAUUAGGCAGUUGGCGGGGUAACGGCCCACCAAACCUACGAUGGAUAGGGGUUCUGAGAGGAAGGUCCCCCACACUGGUACUGAGACACGGACCAGACUCCUACGGGAGGCAGCAGUGAGGAAUACUGGUCAAUGGGCGAGAGCCUGAACCAGCCAAGUCGCGUGAGGGAUGAAGGUUCUAUGGAUCGUUAACCUC
rnacentral:rRNA from 1 species